GCUGGAGGUAUCAGAAGUGCGAAUGCUGACAUAAGUAACGAUAAAGCGGGUGAAAAGCCCGCUCGCCGGAAGACCAAGGGUUCCUGUCCAACGUUAAUCGGGGCAGGGUGAGUCGACCCCUAAGGCGAGGCCGAAAGGCGUAGUCGAUGGGAAACGGGUUAAUAUUCCCGUACUUGGUGUUACUGCGAAGGGGGGACGGAGAAGGCUAUGUUGGCCGGGCGACGGUUGUCCCGGUUUAAGCGUGUAGGUGUGUGUUCCAGGUAAAUCCGGUUCACUUUAACACUGAGGCGUGAUGACGAGGCACCACGGUGCUGAAGCAACAAAUGCCCUGCUUCCAGGAAAAGCCUCUAAGCAUCAGGUAACAUCAAAUCGUACCCCAAACCGACACAGGUGGUCAGGUAGAGAAUACCAAGGCGCUUGAGAGAACUCGGGUGAAGGAACUAGGCAAAAUGGUGCCGUAACU
rnacentral:rRNA from 1 species